UACGUAGGGUGCAAGCGUUGUCCGGAAUUAUUGGGCGUAAAGAGCUCGUAGGCGGUUUGUCGCGUCGGCUGUGAAAACUCGGGGCUCAACCCCGAGCCUGCAGUCGAUACGGGCAAACUAGAGUGCUGUAGGGGAGACUGGAAUUCCUGGUGUAGCGGUGAAAUGCGCAGAUAUCAGGAAGAACACCCGUGGCUAAGGCGGCUCUCUAGUACGGUACUGACGCUGAGACGCGAAAGCGUGGGGAGCGAACAGG
rnacentral:rRNA from 1 species